CGUACUCACAAACCACUCGAAUCUCCGAUCUUAAUAUGACGAACUUACUUCUGUCAAUAAAUGAUCAAUUAUCCGUGCUGAGAGUGGAACAUGGAAAGCUAAUAGAUCGAGAUAUUAACGAAUCAGAUAUAAAAGCAAUUAGAGUGGAGAUAGAACGUCACAAGAAAGACGAACAUGAUAAGGAAUCAAGUAUUGAACUUCUCAGAGCGGAGGUAGAGCGACAGGGAAAGUUGAUGGAUGAACUUGUUAAGGUGACAGACAUUCAGUUUCUUAAAGAGGAGCUGGAACGACUAAAAAAAAUUGGAGUUGAUAGGGAGUCUGACAUAAAAUCUCUCAGACUGGAGCUAGAAGGGCAGAAGAAAGACAGACUUGACAAGGAAUCAAGUAUUGAUCUUCUCAGAGCGGAGGUAGAUCGUCAGGGAAAGUUAUUUGGUGAACUUGUUAAGGGAUCGGAUAUUAAAGCGAUUAAAGAGGAGUUGGAACGCCAGAAGAAAGAUGAAGUUGAGAAGGAAGUGAAUUUUAGAGCGGAGAUGGAUCGACAGGGAAAGGUGAUAGAAGAUCUUGUUAAUAAAUCGGAUAAACAAGAAUCGUGGUUUAACCAAGACCAUGCACCGAAGUGACGUUAAGUGGGAUCUACAACUUAGCUCUUCCAAAGUUUAGAAGUAAACCUUUUAAAGUUGCCUGCGAUGCAGUAACUCGUGGAGGAGGAUGGACCAUUAUUCUAAGGCGGAUGGACGGGAGUGUUGAAUUCAAUCGCAGUUGGACUGAAUACAAAAACGGAUUCGGAAAUCUGGAUGGAGAGUUCUUUUUGGGGCUAGACAAAAUCCAUGCAAUAACAACGGAGAGGAGACAAGAACUACUGGUACUUCUUGAGGACUUCGAGGGAGUUGAGAAAUUUGAGACAUUCGAUGAAUUUGCAAUUGGCGACGAGAAUCAACAAUAUGUCUUACACACUGUGGGAAAAGCCUAUGGAACUGCUGGUGGGGAUCCCCUUGUAUAUCACAAAGGCCAGAAAUUUACCACAUUUGAUAACGAUAAUGAUCCGGCGCUGCAGAACUGUGCCACAGAACACAUUGGCGGCUGGUGGUACCAUGCCAAUUGUCACCACAGCAAGUUAACGGGAAUAUAUAAGGACAACAGACAUGGCAAAGGCAUCAAUUGGCACACCUUUCGUAAUCACAAUUACUCUCUCAAAAGAGCGGUAAUGAUGAUACGGACCAAAAAAUAAAUAGUAAGAAUUAACUUAAUUGAUAAAAGCUGUUCCAUUGUUAAGAUUUGUGUUCAUUUUUAUUUAAAUAUGCGUAAUUGUGUAGAAUUUAUAGUAAAAAAAGCUGUUUCUCUUA